rnacentral:rRNA from 1 species
CGUUGUUCGGAAUUACUGGGCGUAAAGCGCGUGUAGGCUGCUCGGAAAGUCGGAUGUGAAAGCCCUGGGCUUAACCUAGGAAGUGCAUUCGAAACUUCCGAGCUGGAGUUCUGGAGAGGAAGGCGGAAUUCUCGGUGUAGAGGUGAAAUUCGUAGAUAUCGAGAGGAACACCAGUGGCGAAGGCGGUUGCCUGGAGCUUUGCUGACGCUGAGGCGCGAAAGCGUGGGGAGCGAUCCGG